rnacentral:lncRNA from 1 species
UAGCUCCAGUGAUCAUACUUGCUUCCCACCACAAUAAACAAGCUCAAAUCUCCUGCUCCCAUCUCAUUUGUUUCAGGUGGUUGUGAUAUAAGCCGACUCUACUCUUGUGGUGAUCCAUGGUCAAGGCUGCAGUGGAGCUGACUUAUAACGAUGAAGCAAACAUGGACAGAGGUCAUUUGGUAUGGGAAGAAUUUCAGUCAUGUGGUAGAAGGGAAACCUGGAUGUAAGCAGCAAACUGUGGAUGUGCUAAGUAUAAGCACGAGCCAAUGCAUUGCUGUCUUCCGUGAAGGAAUUUUGUUUUUGAUCCUCCACUACUACCCCACAACAACCCUGAGGAUAUCUCCAACCUUGGAAAUGAAUGUCAUCUUUCCUUCCUCCUCCUCAUUCUUUUUUAAAGGGACAUUUUUGUUUCUUUGAUAUUCUUUUUAAUACUUGUGUAGGGCUCAUUGUAAUUCAUGUGACCACCUCUGCACCUCCAGGGAGGCUAAAAUGAGAUUAGAAGAUUAAAAUUGUAUUAGCACAGAUCCUGGGAACAAGUUGGACUCCUUGGAGGCUGUUAAAGCUAACAAAGUAGUCCCCCAGCUGUCCCAACUGGGGAAAUGUAUGUGAUCUGCCCCUUGCCUGGUUUAUAGACAGAAGAAGCUGGAGCACUGAUUGAUGAUGAUAUUUGUAAUGAAACUAAUACAUUGAAAGAGCAAGUUAUUCAGGUACAAUGAGCUAAAGUUAAGGAAAGAAUUAUAUGUUAAAGUAGUAAAUUUAGAUAUCAGAAAAAAUAUUCAGAAAAAUCUAGACUAAGUCUAGUAAGUAAUUGGUUUUACAAUUUUACCAGUUUAGAGUAGUUGCUUUUACAGCACAAAUUUCUUGAAUAUUAGUUUGACUCAAUGUCAUUUUUGCUGUGUAGACUUUACUUGGGGAGUUUGGACAGUGUCAUUUGCAUAGUUAAUAUGUGAUUAUGCUAGGAAAUGAUGGCUUGGGAAAUCUCUUAAGUGUGUUUCAAAUUACCAACUGUCCUUAAAACAUAUGGUACUAUGUAAUUUCACUAUAUUAGAACUUGAAAGAUACAGAUGUGAUAGUUUAUAAAAUUUGCUUGGGAAUAAUGAACACAAAUAAUUAUAAAAUACGGUUUCUUAAUUAUUAUGUUAGACUCCAAACUGAAGAUUGAUUUCACCUGGAGCAUAUAAUGGUCUUUACUAAUCAGAGGAGAUUAGCUGAGAACUGAUAUUAGAUACUCCAGUUUAUAAUCUACAAUGCUAUCUGAUAGAAAGUUCUGUAGUGAUGUAAAUGUUUUAUGUACACUGGCCAUGUGUGGCUAUUGAGCACUUGAUAUGUGGUUAAUGUGUUUAGGAACUGAAUUUUAAUUUUAAUUUUAAUUUUAAUUAAUUAAUUUAAAAUUUUUAAUUAAUUUAAAUUUAAAUAG